rnacentral:rRNA from 1 species
ACGGGUGCGCAACGCGUGGGAAUCUGCCCUUUGGUUCGGAAUAACAGUUGGAAACGACUGCUAAUACCGGAUGAUGACGUAAGUCCAAAGAUUUAUCGCCAGAGGAUGAGCCCGCGUAGGAUUAGCUAGUUGGUGUGGUAAGAGCGCACCAAGGCGACGAUCCUUAGCUGGUCUGAGAGGAUGAUCAGCCACACUGGGACUGAGACACGGCCCAGACUCCUACGGGAGGCAGCAGUGGGGAAUAUUGGACAAUGGGCGAAAGCCUGAUCCAGCAAUGCCGCGUGAGUGAUGAAGGCCUUAGGGUUGUAAAGCUCUUUUACCCGGGAUGAUAAUGACAGUACCGGGAGAAUAAGCUCCGGCUAACUCCGUGCCAGCAGCCGCGGUAAUACGGAGGGAGCUAGCGUUGUUCGGAAUUACUGGGCGUAAAGCGCACGUAGGCGGCUUUGUAAGUUAGAGGUGAAAGCCUGGAGCUCAACUCCAGAAUUGCCUUUAAGACUGCAUCGCUUGAAUCCAGGAGAGGUGAGUGGAAUUCCGAGUGUAGAGGUGAAAUUCGUAGA